rnacentral:rRNA from 1 species
GACGAACGCUGGCGGCGUGCUUAACACAUGCAAGUCGAGCGGUAAGGCUCCUUCGGGAGUACACGAGCGGCGAGCGGGUGAGUAACACGUGAGCAAUCUGCCCUUCACACGGGGAUAACCCUCGGAAACGAGAGCUAAUACCCGAUACGACCACUUCAGGCAUCUGAUGGUGGUGGAAAGUUCCGGCGGUGAAGGAUGAGCUCGCGGCCUAUCAGCUUGUUGGUGGGGUAACGGCCCACCAAGGCAACGACGGGUAGCCGGCCUGAGAGGGUGACCGGCCACACUGGGACUGAGAUGCGGCCCAGACUCCUACGGGAGGCAGCAGUGGGGAAUAUUGGACAAUGGGCGAAAGCCUGAUCCAGCAACGCCGCGUGAGGGAUGACGGCCUUCGGGUUGUAAACCUCUUUCAGCAGGGACGAAGCGCAAGUGACGGUACCUGCAGAAGAAGCACCGGCCAACUACGUGCCAGCCGCCGCCGUAA